rnacentral:rRNA from 1 species
UGACCGCUGGCGGCGUGCCUACUACAUGCACAUCGAGCGAACAGACGAGGAGCUUGCUCCUCUGACGUUAGCGGCGGACGGGUGUGUAACACGUGGAUAACCUACCUAUAAGACUGGGAUAACUUCGGGAAACCGGAGCUAAUACCGGAUAAUAUAUUGAACCGCAUGGUUCAAUAGUGAAAGACGGUUUUGCUGUCACUUAUAGAUGGAUCCGCGCCGCAUUAGCUAGUUGGUAAGGUAACGGCUUACCAAGGCAACGAUGCGUAGCCGACCUGAGAGGGUGAUCGGCCACACUGGAACUGAGACACGGUCCAGACUCCUACGGGAGGCAGCAGUAGGGAAUCUUCCGCAAUGGGCGAAAGCUUGACGGAGCAACGCCGCGUGAGUGAUGAAGGUCUUCGGAUCGUAAAACUCUGUUAUUAGGGAAGAACAAAUGUGUAAGUAACUAUGCACGUCUUGACGGUACCUAAUCAGAAAGCCACGGCUAACUACGUG